GAUUAGAGUUGAUCAUGGCUCAGAGUGAACGCUGGCGGUAGGCCUAACACAUGCAAGUCGAACGGCAGCACAGGAGAGCUUGCUCUCUGGGUGGCGAGUGGCGGACGGGUGAGGAAUACAUCGGAAUCUACUUUUUCGUGGGGGAUAACGUAGGGAAACUUACGCUAAUACCGCAUACGACCUACGGGUGAAAGCAGGGGAUCUUCGGACCUUGCGCGAUUGAAUGAGCCGAUGUCGGAUUAGCUAGUUGGCGGGGUAAAGGCCCACCAAGGCGACGAUCCGUAGCUGGUCUGAGAGGAUGAUCAGCCACACUGGAACUGAGACACGGUCCAGACUCCUACGGGAGGCAGCAGUGGGGGAAUAUUGGACAAUGGGCGCAAGGCCUUGAUCCAGCCAUACCGCGUGGGUGAAGAAGGCCUUCGGGUUGUAAAGCCCUUUGGUUGGGAAAGAAAAUCCAGCUGGCUAAUAACCGGUUUGGGGAUGACCGGUACCCAAAGAAUAAG
rnacentral:rRNA from 1 species